CCUACGGGUGGCAGCAGUGGGGGAUAUUGCACAAUGGGGGAAACCCUGAUGCAGCGACGCCGCGUGAGUGAAGAAGUAUUUCGGUAUGUAAAGCUCUAUCAGCAGGGAAGAAAAUGACAGUACCUGACCCAGAAGCCCCGGCUAACUACGUGCCAGCAGCCGCGGUAAUACGUAGGGGGCAAGCGUUAUCCGGAUUUACUGGGUGUAAAGGGAGCGUAGACGGGUAUGUAAGUCUGGUGUGAAAGCCCGGGGCCCAACCCCGGGACUGCUGUGGAAAAUGGGUAACUGGAGUACAGGAGGGGAAGGCGGAAGGCGUGGUGUAGCGGUGAAAUGCGUAGAUAUCAGGCGGAACACCGGUGGCGAAGGCGGCCUGCUGGACUGAAACUGACGUUGAGGCUCGAAAGCGUGGGGAGCAAACAGGAUUAGAUACCCUUGUAGUC
rnacentral:rRNA from 1 species